GUGAAAAAAAAUUUAAAAAAAUUUGACCGUGACACUAUAGCUAUAUUUUGAUUCGCAAUGACCAUAAGAGGGUUUACGGACGACCUAAAUGCCACAAUAUGCAUAAAAAAUGAGGAAAUAUAAAAAAAAAAAAGAAGAUGUGGUAUCAUUGCCAAUGAAACAAACAUCCACAAAAGACCAAAAUGACACAGACAUCAACAACUAUAGCUCACCGUACAGCCUACAACAAUGAGCAAAGCCCAUACCGCAUAGUCAGCUAUAAAAGGCCC
rnacentral:lncRNA from 1 species